GUUCAUUUGAUUUUCUUUUGUGGGGUUUAAAAUUGAAACCGUCAAAGAUUGAGAAAUGAUCGCACGAAUGCUACGAACUCCAGUUCUCUCUCUCUAAAUCUCGGCUGCCUUUUUGCUCGCUUCAAAUCCUUUCCGGCUCUCAUGGACGUUCCGGUACUCAAGUGACUGAGAUUUUUCGUGAUCGUAUAGGAAUAUCAUCAAAUACGAUCUCUAUUUAUGAAUUUAGAACGUAUUGCACUAGCACUGAUAGAGGUGCGUUGUAAACAAUGACCAUAGACCAUCAUCGUAUAAUGUUGAUAGUAUGAAGCAAAACCACAUUACUAUUGAUCUGUUUCUUUCUGAAUCUAGACUGUGUUUUUUGUUCGUUAUCAUGGCAGUUUACCAUUUUGGAAAAGAUUUAAGACCUUCCCUUUUGAACAUUUUUUGCAAGAGGCAAACCAAAUGCAUUUUUAGUUUAUAAUAUUCUCGAGAAUGGAUUUUAGCAUUUUUUUGUGGAAUGGUGAUUGAAAAGGUCUUAGAAUGGACUGCUUUUUAAUCACUCUUACAUUGGAAGUUGAGAGAAAAUUA